rnacentral:rRNA from 1 species
GUUUGAUCCCUGGCUCAGAUUGAACGCUGGCGGCAGGCCUAACACAUGCAAGUCGAGCGGUAGAGAGAAGCUUGCUUCUCUUGAGAGCGGCGGACGGGUGAGUAAUGCCUAGGAAUCUGCCUGGUAGUGGGGGAUAACGUUCGGAAACGGACGCUAAUACCGCAUACGUCCUACGGGAGAAAGCAGGGGACCUUCGGGCCUUGCGCUAUCAGAUGAGCCUAGGUCGGAUUAGCUAGUUGGUGGGGUAAUGGCUCACCAAGGCGACGAUCCGUAACUGGUCUGAGAGGAUGAUCAGUCACACUGGAACUGAGACACGGUCCAGACUCCUACGGGAGGCAGCAGUGGGGAAUAUUGGACAAUGGGCGAAAGCCUGAUCCAGCCAUGCCGCGUGUGUGAAGAAGGUCUUCGGAUUGUAAAGCACUUUAAGUUGGGAGGAAGGGUUGUAGAUUAAUACUCUGCAAUUUUGACGUUACCGACAGAAUAAGCACCGGCUAACUCUGUGCCAGCAGCCGCGGUAAU